GGGUUGUGAGGUUAAGCGACUAAGCGUACACGGUGGAUGCCCUGGCAGUCAGAGGCGAUGAAGGACGUGCUAAUCUGCGAUAAGCGUCGGUAAGGUGAUAUGAACCGUUAUAACCGGCGAUUUCCGAAUGGGGAAACCCAGUGUGUUUCGACACACUAUCAUUAACUGAAUCCAUAGGUUAAUGAGGCGAACCGGGGGAACUGAAACAUCUAAGUACCCCGAGGAAAAGAAAUCAACCGAGAUUCCCCCAGUAGCGGCGAGCGAACGGGGAGCAGCCCAGAGCCUGAAUCAGUGUGUGUGUUAGUGGAAGCGUCUGGAAAGGCGCGCGAUACAGGGUGACAGCCCCGUACACAAAAAUGCACAUGCUGUGAGCUCGAUGAGUAGGGCGGGACACGUGGUAUCCUGUCUGAAUAUGGGGGGACCAUCCUCCAAGGCUAAAUACUCCUGACUGACCGAUAGUGAACCAGUACCGUGAGGGAAAGGCGAAAAGAACCCCGGCGAGGGGAGUGAAAAAGAACCUGAAACCGUGUACGUACAAGCAGUGGGAGCACGCUUAGGCGUGUGACUGCGUACCUUUUGUAUAAUGGGUCAGCGACUUAUAUUCUGUAGCAAGGUUAACCGAAUAGGGGAGCCGAAGGGAAACCGAGUCUUAACUGGGCGUUAAGUUGCAGGGUAUAGACCCGAAACCCGGUGAUCUAGCCAUGGGCAGGUUGAAGGUUGGGUAACACUAACUGGAGGACCGAACCGACUAAUGUUGAAAAAUUAGCGGAUGACUUGUGGCUGGGGGUGAAAGGCCAAUCAAACCGGGAGAUAGCUGGUUCUCCCCGAAAGCUAUUUAGGUAGCGCCUCGUGAAUUCAUCUCCGGGGGUAGAGCACUGUUUCGGCAAGGGGGUCAUCCCGACUUACCAACCCGAUGCAAACUGCGAAUACCGGAGAAUGUUAUCACGGGAGACACACGGCGGGUGCUAACGUCCGUCGUGAAGAGGGAAACAACCCAGACCGCCAGCUAAGGUCCCAAAGUCAUGGUUAAGUGGGAAACGAUGUGGGAAGGCCCAGACAGCCAGGAUGUUGGCUUAGAAGCAGCCAUCAUUUAAAGAAAGCGUAAUAGCUCACUGGUCGAGUCGGCCUGCGCGGAAGAUGUAACGGGGCUAAACCAUGCACCGAAGCUGCGGCAGCGACACUAUGUGUUGUUGGGUAGGGGAGCGUUCUGUAAGCCUGUGAAGGUGUGCUGUGAGGCAUGCUGGAGGUAUCAGAAGUGCGAAUGCUGACAUAAGUAACGAUAAAGCGGGUGAAAAGCCCGCUCGCCGGAAGACCAAGGGUUCCUGUCCAACGUUAAUCGGGGCAGGGUGAGUCGACCCCUAAGGCGAGGCCGAAAGGCGUAGUCGAUGGGAAACAGGUUAAUAUUCCUGUACUUGGUGUUACUGCGAAGGGGGGACGGAGAAGGCUAUGUUGGCCGGGCGACGGUUGUCCCGGUUUAAGCGUGUAGGCUGGUUUUCCAGGCAAAUCCGGAAAAUCAAGGCUGAGGCGUGAUGACGAGGCACUACGGUGCUGAAGCAACAAAUGCCCUGCUUCCAGGAAAAGCCUCUAAGCAUCAGGUAACAUCAAAUCGUACCCCAAACCGACACAGGUGGUCAGGUAGAGAAUACCAAGGCGCUUGAGAGAACUCGGGUGAAGGAACUAGGCAAAAUGGUGCCGUAACUUCGGGAGAAGGCACGCUGAUAUGUAGGUGAGGUCCCUCGCGGAUGGAGCUGAAAUCAGUCGAAGAUACCAGCUGGCUGCAACUGUUUAUUAAAAACACAGCACUGUGCAAACACGAAAGUGGACGUAUACGGUGUGACGCCUGCCCGGUGCCGGAAGGUUAAUUGAUGGGGUCAGCGCAAGCGAAGCUCUUGAUCGAAGCCCCGGUAAACGGCGGCCGUAACUAUAACGGUCCUAAGGUAGCGAAAUUCCUUGUCGGGUAAGUUCCGACCUGCACGAAUGGCGUAAUGAUGGCCAGGCUGUCUCCACCCGAGACUCAGUGAAAUUGAACUCGCUGUGAAGAUGCAGUGUACCCGCGGCAAGACGGAAAGACCCCGUGAACCUUUACUAUAGCUUGACACUGAACAUUGAGCCUUGAUGUGUAGGAUAGGUGGGAGGCUUAGAAGUGUGGACGCCAGUCUGCAUGGAGCCGACCUUGAAAUACCACCCUUUAAUGUUUGAUGUUCUAACGUUGACCCGUAAUCCGGGUUGCGGACAGUGUCUGGUGGGUAGUUUGACUGGGGCGGUCUCCUCCUAAAGAGUAACGGAGGAGCACGAAGGUUGGCUAAUCCUGGUCGGACAUCAGGAGGUUAGUGCAAUGGCAUAAGCCAGCUUGACUGCGAGCGUGACGGCGCGAGCAGGUGCGAAAGCAGGUCAUAGUGAUCCGGUGGUUCUGAAUGGAAGGGCCAUCGCUCAACGGAUAAAAGGUACUCCGGGGAUAACAGGCUGAUACCGCCCAAGAGUUCAUAUCGACGGCGGUGUUUGGCACCUCGAUGUCGGCUCAUCACAUCCUGGGGCUGAAGUAGGUCCCAAGGGUAUGGCUGUUCGCCAUUUAAAGUGGUACGCGAGCUGGGUUUAGAACGUCGUGAGACAGUUCGGUCCCUAUCUGCCGUGGGCGCUGGAGAACUGAGGGGGGCUGCUCCUAGUACGAGAGGACCGGAGUGGACGCAUCACUGGUGUUCGGGUUGUCAUGCCAAUGGCACUGCCCGGUAGCUAAAUGCGGAAGAGAUAAGUGCUGAAAGCAUCUAAGCACGAAACUUGCCCCGAGAUGAGUUCUCCCUGACUCCUUGAGAGUCCUGAAGGAACGUUGAAGACGACGACGUUGAUAGGCCGGGUGUGUAAGCGCAGCGAUGCGUUGAGCUAACCGGUACUAAUGAACCGUGAGGCUUAACCUUACAACGCCGAAGCUGUU
rnacentral:rRNA from 1 species